GCAGGCUGUGGUGAAGUACCUUCUCUUAUAAUUUCUACUAUAAAGCAGUAAAAGUUGUUUCUCAUCUUAGGGUCUGGAACAGAAUCUGACAGUGAUGAAUCAGUACCAGAGCUUGAAGAACAGGAUUCCACCCAGGCAACCACACAACAAGCCCAGCUGGCGGCAGCAGCUGAAAUUGAUGAAGAACCAGUCAGUAAAGCAAAACAGAGUCGGAGUGAAAAGAAGGCACGGAAGGUAAGAUUUGAAAAGGAUUUCAGGAUCUUAUGAAGCACCUUUAUACAGAGUGGAACUGUUUAUUUCCAUAGGUUUUUGGGGAACAGGUGGUAUUUUGGUUAUACAAGUA
rnacentral:lncRNA from 10 species